CAACAGAAACCACACCACAAAUUCACUACAUAUUUCUUCCUCUCCUCUUCCUCUACCCUCUCUGCCUGAUCAUCUGAAUUCCUCUCCCUCUGCUGCAGAAAUCCAGACCUGAGGCCAAAUCAGGACUCCUCCUCUCUGCUACGAUCCCUUUUCCUCCAUCUCACUAAGUGGUAUAGCUUAAGUGCUCUUGGGUGGGAGGACCCUAGCUAGUUAGGAAUAUAUAUAGAGAGCUGAAACCAGAUGGAGAUGCCCCCUCUUGAGUAGGAGUUGGAGCCUGGCAAGGAGUGCCCACUAUAGUUUAGACUUUUACUGUAUAUUUUGAGGGUUUGGGUGUAGUUUAGCAUCCUUUCUACCUACUCUUACCUGGUGUAUAUGUGUUCAUAGAUGUAGCAGUGUGGAGGACUGUACUAGAUAUAUAUAUACUAUGUGUGUAUAACUGCCACCCCUACUAUUUGCUAUGUUUAAUCAUGAUAUAAUGUUUUAUUU